AUGAUACUCCCUCCGUCCAACAAAGAAUGUCUCAAGUUUGUCAAAUUUUGAAUGUAUCUAGACAUGACUUAGUGUAUAGAUACAUUCAAAUUUAAUCAAAGUUGAGACAUCUUUUGUUGGACGGAGGAAGUAAUAC
rnacentral:pre_miRNA from 1 species